CUCUCGCCCGGGCGCCUCGCCCGACCCCACUGCACCCCCACAGGUGCCCUUCCGCCCAAACCGCCAGCCGCCAGGUGUGCCAAGUCCCACGCGACAUUGAUUCCGGUUAUUUUUUCAGAGGUUCUGUAAGUGACCAGUGAGGACACAAAUGCCGAAGACCUCCAGCCUCCCCAACCCAACCCAGCAGAUCCAUAAACUGAAUAAAGGACUCACACACACACACACACACACACACACACACACACACACACACACACACACACACACACACACACACACACACACACACACAUACACAAAUCUGUUCCUCCAUCUUCACUUCUCUCUCCCAUGUGUCAUUGCAAUCCACCCACUUCCUUUCCAAACACACACACACACACACACGCACAAAUGCAAACACAUAUCCACAUAUGCCUUGUGUUUAGUUUGCCUUCCUAAAAUCACAAAGUGAAACUAAUAGGAAAUGUAUAAUAGUAAUAAUUAAUUAUUGGGUUAACCCCUAGACAUUAUCAUGUGUAAUACUAUUUAGUAUAUAGGAGAACUGUAAACUACCAGCAUAUGUAUAAAGUAUGAUUGUAUGUAUUUCGGUAUGUAUGAACACUGAAAUAGCAUUCACCCUGGGUAUUGAGAACAGACUGCCUGUUUACUAUUUGUGUGAGUCAUUAGUAAUAGAAUCACUAGGUGUGUUUCUGUAGAUUAUUAGAGUAUAUGUUUAGGCAUAUUUCUAGCUCAGAAUCACCCACACAGUAGGUCCCUGUGGAAUAGAUCUGACCUUGUCCUGAUAUGGACCUGCUGGAUUCCGUUUGGGUUAGCUGUUAUCUGGGAUAUGAAUGCAUGCUUAGAUUACAGUUUGUGCUGGACCAAGUCUGCCCAAGACUAGGCCAAUCUGGAUUGUAUCUGGAUUAAAUCUGGAUUGGAUUUGUAUGAAAUCUGGAUUGGAUCUGGGUCAUAUCAGGGCCAGAUCUGUUCAGCUGUGGUGUGUAUUCAUGAGUGUGUUAGUUCAGGAAGUCCCCUCAGUCUCCUGUAUGUGAAUGCCGCCCACCAAACCUGCCAUUUCUGUGAACCCCGGUGUAUCUAAAUAAGAUGAUAUGUUAUUUUAAAUGCCUGUACUGUGAGCUAAACGAUGCCAACAGAAAUGUAGUUUACAGUAGCAUUGGGUGCUUGUGAUUGGCAGUGGCCCGUUGUGAUUGGAGCAGAGGAGAGGAGGCCUGUGGAGUGGAGCCUCUCCUCUCUGCUGGGUGGUGUGUGUGUCUCGCCUGGUGUCACUCUGACGCUCUUCUCUCUGUCUGCCCCC